rnacentral:rRNA from 1 species
UACAGAGGGUGCAAGCGUUAAUCGGAAUUACUGGGCGUAAAGCGCACGUAGGCGGUUUUUUAAGUCAGAUGUGAAAGCCCCGGGCUCAACCUGGGAAUUGCAUUUGAAACUGGGGAACUAGAGUGUGUGAGAGGGGGGUAGAAUUCCAAGUGUAGCGGUGAAAUGCGUAGAGAUUUGGAGGAAUACCAGUGGCGAAGGCGGCCCCCUAGCACAACACUGACGCUCAGGUGCGAAAGCGUGGGGAGCAAACAGG